rnacentral:rRNA from 1 species
GAUGAACGCUGGCGGCGUGCUUAACACAUGCAAGUCGAACGAAGCACCUUGAUUUCUUCGGAAUGAUUGGUGACUGAGUGGCGGACGGGUGAGUAACGCGUGGGUAACCUGCCUCACACAGGGGGAUAACAGUUAGAAAUGACUGCUAAUACCGCAUAAGACCACAGUACCGCAUGGUACAGUGAUAAAAACUCCGGUGGUUUGAGAUGGACCCGCGUCUGAUUAGCUAGUUGGUGAGGUAACGGCUCACCAAGGCGACGAUCAGUAGCCGACCUGAGAGGGUGACCGGCCACAUUGGGACUGAGACACGGCCCAAACUCCUACGGGAGGCAGCAGUGGGGAAUAUUGCACAAUGGGCGAAAGCCUGAUGCAGCGACGCCGCGUGAAGGAUGAAGUAUUUCGGUAUGUAAACUUCUAUCAGCAGGGAAGAAAAUGACGGUACCUGACUAAGAAGCCCCGGCUAACUACGUGCCAGCCGCCGCCGUAAAAC